rnacentral:rRNA from 1 species
GACGAACGCUGGCGGCGUGUCUAAUACAUGCAAGUCGAGCGGACCAAAGGGAGCUUGCUCCUGGAGGUCAGCGGCGAACGGGUGAGUAACACGUGGGCAACCUGCCUGUAAGACUGGGAUAACAUCGAGAAAUCGGUGCUAAUACCGGAUAAUAAAAAGAACUGCAUGGUUCUUUUUGAAAGAUGGUUUCGGCUAUCACUUACAGAUGGGCCCGCGGCGCAUUAGCUAGUUGGUGAGGUAACGGCUCACCAAGGCAACGAUGCGUAGCCGACCUGAGAGGGUGAUCGGCCACACUGGGACUGAGACACGGGCCCAGACUCCUACGGGAGGCAGCAGUAGGGAAUCUUCCGCAAUGGACGAAAGUCUGACGGAGCAACGCCGCGUGAGUGAUGAAGGUUUUCGGAUCGUAAAACUCUGUUGUUAGGGAAGAACAAGUGCCGUUCGAAAGGGCGGCACCUUGACGGUACCUAACGAGAAAGCCACGGCUAACUACGUGCCAGCAGCCG